rnacentral:lncRNA from 1 species
AGAUUUAGGGUUUAGGGUUUACGUUUAGGGUUUAGAGUUGAUGUUUAAGGGUUUAGAUUUGAAGGUUUAGGGUUUAGGGUUUAGGGUUCGAAUUUCAGAAAAAUAUAAGGUUUAGGGUUUAGUGUUUAAGUUUAGGGUUUAGAGUUGAUGUUUUAGGGUUUUGAUUUGAAGGUUUGGGAUUUAGAGUUGAUGUUUCGGGGUUUAGGGUUUAGAGUUGAUGUUUCAUGGUUUAGAGUUUAGAGUUGAUGAUUUAGGGUUUAAAGUUGAUAUUUUAAGUUUAGAUUUAGGGUUUAGGGUUUUUGUUUAGGGUUUAGAGUUGAUGUUUUAGGGUUUAGAUUGUAAGUUUUAGGGUUUAGAGUUCAUGUUUCCGGGUUUAGGAUUUAGAGUUAAUGAUUUAGGGUUUAGAGUUGAUGUUUUAAGUUUAGAUUAGUUAACCAUAUGUUUUUUUUUUGUCAAAGGUAAUCAAAAGAUUAUAAAAGUAUUUUACCCUUCAUUAAAGAUGAGGGUAAAGUCGUUAGUGUAAACAUGAAAAGUGGUAUUU